rnacentral:rRNA from 1 species
GGCUAACGCUGGCGGCGUGUCUUAGCCAUGCAAGUCGAGCGGACUUAUGGGGUAACUUAUAAGUCAGCGGCGGACGGCGGAGUAACACGUAGCUAACCUACCCUCUGGACGGGGAUAACCUACCGAAAGGUGGGCUAAUACCCGAUGUAGUCAUCCUGUAUAGGGGUGAUGAAAGGUGGGCUUCUGUUUACAAGCUCAUGCUGGAGGAGGGGGCUGCGGCCUAUCAGGUAGUUGGUAGGGUAAUAGCCUACCAAGCCGAUGACGGGUAGCCGGCCUGAGAGGGUGACCGGCCCGAGGGGCACUGAGAUACGGGUCCCACUCCUACGGGAGGCAGCAGGCUAGAAAUUUGGGCAAUGGGGGAAACCCUGACCCAGUGACGCCGCGUGCAGGAAGGAGCCCUUCGGGGUGUAAACUGCUGUCGUGUAGGGAGAAGGGUACUAAGGUGAACAAUCUUAGUACUUAACGGGUACUACAGGAGGAAGCCCAGGCUAACCUCGUG